CUACACAGAAGUCCAUCUUCAUUGUUUUUAGCGUAAGCUCUAUUCGUCAUGAUUCGUCACUCAGCAAGUACCGCAAACAGAAGCAGUCACCCCCUGGAAAUACUAAAAAUGGCGCACGUCCAGGGGGUGACUGCUUCUGUUUACGGUACUUGCUGAGUGACGAACAAGGCUGCCACUCGUAGGGGGAUUCCCCUACAGUAGGGGAUUAUGACAUCUUGUAGGGAGUGGGGAAUACCUACGGGGAGAAAGGGUAAUCUGUAGGGGAGCGUAGGGGAUUUCUUCACGGUUUGAAUUGAAAAAAAAAUUGUGUGUCUGUUUAUGGUAUUAUGAAUUACAAAAUGGAACUAGCACUAUUGAACUGCAGGAUAAUCAGGAUUUUUCAUGGAAACAACUAGAAAUUUAGAUUUGAAUUGAAUGUGGAAGCACUGGAAUAUGUGAUAUAAUAACUCCACGUCUCCGGUCUCCACGACAGUGCUUCCAUUUUCAAGGAAAUUUCCUUUUCUAAGGAAAUUCUAGUGUCGAAAAGGAAAAUCUAAGGAAGAAAAAAAUCUAAGGAAAUCUAAGGAUUUUUUCCCAACAACUUAAAUAUUCAUCCAAGUGCAUUAGUGCAGAAGAAUGUUUCGCUAUUUCUUGAAUUUUUGAGUGAAUUUGAGUGAAUUUUUGAGUAAUAGUUUGUGGUUUUGUUUGAGUGAAUUUGAGUGAAUUUUUGAGUAAUAAAUAGAAUAUAUUAUCGUUAUAUUAAAAACCGGAAACAUCUGUAUCGUAGAUGAUAAUUCAGGAUUACAGGGGAAAUGCGAUAUUCGUAGGGGAACGUAGGGGAAUGUAGGGGAAAAUUACACAUUGACUUGUAGGGAAAAGUAGG